rnacentral:rRNA from 1 species
GAUGAACGCUAGCUACAGGCUUAACACAUGCAAGUCGAGGGGUAACGAGAGGAAAGCUUGCUUUCCUUGUCGACGACCGGCGCACGGGUGAGUAACGCGUAUCCAACCUGCCCCCAACUAGGGAAUAACCUUGCGAAAGUAAGACUAAUACCCUAUAAUUUCCUCAGAUGUCAUCUGACGAGGAAUAAAGAUUUAUCGGUUGUGGAUGGGGAUGCGUGUGAUUAGCUUGUUGGCGGGGUAACGGCCCACCAAGGCAACGAUCAGUAGGGGUUCUGAGAGGAAGGUCCCCCACAUUGGAACUGAGACACGGUUCAAACUCCUACGGGAGGCAGCAGUGAGGAAUAUUGGUCAAUGGGCGGAAGCCUGAACCAGCCAAGUAGCGUGCAGGAUGACGGCCCUAUGGGUUGUAACUGCUUUUAUACAGGAAUAAAGUUAGCCACGUGUGGUUAUUUGUAGGUACUGUAUGAAUAAGGACCGGCUAAUUCCGUGCCAGCCGCCGCGGUAA